GACGAACGCUGGCGGCGUGCUUAACACAUGCAAGUCGAACGGAAAGGCCUCUUUCGGGGGGUACUCGAGUGGCGAACGGGUGAGUAACACGUGAGUAACCUGCCCUUGACUUUGGGAUAGCUUCAGGAAACUGGGGCUAAUACCGGAUAGGAGCUCCUGCUGCAUGGUGGGGGUUGGAAAGUUUCGGCGGUUGGGGAUGGACUCGCGGCUUAUCAGCUUGUUGGUGGGGUAGUGGCUUACCAAGGCUUUGACGGGUAGCCGGCCUGAGAGGGUGACCGGCCACAUUGGGACUGAGAUACGGCCCAGACUCCUACGGGAGGCAGCAGUGGGGAAUAUUGCACAAUGGGUGGAAGCCUGAUGCAGCAACGCCGUGUGCGGGAUGACGGCCUUCGGGUUGUAAACCGCUUUCGCUCAUGACGAAGCUUUGUGUGACGGUAGUGGGUAAAGAAGCACCGGCUAACUACGUG
rnacentral:rRNA from 1 species